UUUCUUUUUUUUAAAAAAUAUUUUAUUUAUUUAUUUGACAGAGAGAUAGAGAGAGCCAGAGAGCACAAGCGGGGGAAAUGGCAGAGGUAGAAGGAGAAGCAGGCUCUCCGUCGAUCAGGGAGCCCAACGCGGGGCUCGAUCCCAGGACCCUGAGAUCAUGACCUGAGCCAAAGGCAGAUGCUUCACCGACUGAGCACCCAGGUGCCCCUCAGGGCCCUAAUCUUUAGGAAUAUUGUAGGAAUAAAGCGGAGUCCCUGUUCCAGAGCGACUGUCACAACAGUCACACCAAUAGGUACUCGUCUAUGAGGCAUGCUGAGACUCGGCAGGAAUGGGNNNNNNNNNNNNNNNNNNNNNCGGUUAAGGCUCUCAUCUGAAGAGGAUGGCUGACUAUCCAAACCCCAGCAUCUAAAGACAUGGGACAAAAUUCACCUUGAAGUGGGCAGGUAUUUGUGUCCUGAGGGUCUCCUCUGAUGGUUGGGGCCUAAUUGUGCAAGUAGAACUAAGAGUUAAGCACAUGACAGUAUCAUGCUUUGCCAUAGAUGGGUGGCUGUGGGUGUCUUUCUGAUUUCAGUAGGAUUUCAGCUGGUAGCUAGGGAGAGUAGGACAGGUCUGAUCCAAGAGGAGAAGGAGCGGCCAGAGUCAGACGGGGACUGAGGGAUCGAGCCAAGCUGGUUGGGGUUCCAGGUGGGAUUCCGGGUGCAGCUGAAGACAUCAGACGUGAUUCACGGGCUAUGAAGACACACCGUCAUGCAAGGAAUGGUGAAAGCUGCUUUUUAUGAAUCAUUUGCUACCGUGUGCCACAUAGAAUUUACUUAAUCCCCAGACCAACUCUAUGAGGCAGUCUGUUGGUUUUUCCUUCGGAUAUCAACUCUGUGGUGUCUUUUCCAACACCAACUAAUUCUCCAAUUCUCUGACACCAACAAGGUGUCCAACAAUUCAAUUAAAUUCUGACACUCACUACCCCAGAGUUAGUUCAGACUUUUUUGUAGGUUAAGGGCUCAGUCCCACAUGAUUGCACUCACUUCAGAGACCAGCUGCCAGUGGGGGGGUCCCCAGGUGACACAUACUUCUCCCUGGCUGACAACCAAUUCACAUGUUCCCAUGACCUCCGCACCAGGUUUGAUAGUUCCCUAAAAUGACUCACAGAACUCAGGAAAGCCCCUGACUUACAAUUACCGGUUUAUUAUAAUGGAUAGAACUCGGGACCAGCCAAAUCAAAGAGACACAUAGGGCAAGGCAUGGGGCAGGGUGCCCUGUCCGGGUGUGCUACCCUCCCAGCACAUCACCAAGUUCGCCAGCGUGCAAG
rnacentral:lncRNA from 1 species